rnacentral:rRNA from 1 species
CCCAGACUCCUACGGGAGGCAGCAGUGGGGAAUAUUGGACAAUGGGGGGAACCCUGAUCCAGCGACGCCGCGUGAGUGAAGAAGUAUUUCGGUAUGUAAAGCCCUAUCGGCAGGGAAGAAAUUGGACGGUACCUGACUAAGAAGCCCCGGCUAACUACGUGCCAGCAGCCGCGGUAAUACGUAGGGGGCAAGCGUUAUCCGGAUUCACUGGGUGUAAAGGGAGCGUAGACGGCCAUGCAAGCCUGGAGUGAAAGCCCGGGGCCCAACCCCGGGACUGCUCUGGGAACUGUGCGGCUGGAGUGCGGGAGGGGCAGGCGGAAUUCCUGGUGUAGCGGUGAAAUGCGUAGAUAUCAGGAGGAACACCGGCGGCGAAGGCGGCCUGCUGGACCGCGACUGACGUUGAGGCUCGAAAGCGUGGGGAGCAAACAGGAUUAGAUACCCCGGUA